GCUACCAUGCAAGUCGAGGGGUAACAUGGUCUUCGGACUGAUGACGACCGGCAAACGGGUGCGGAACACGUACGCAACAUACCCUUUACAGGAGGAUAGCCCGGAGAAAUCCGGAUUAAUACUCCAUAGUAUAUUUGAAAGGCAUCUUUUGGAUAUUAAAGAUUUAUUGGUAAAGGAUUGGCGUGCGUCCCAUUAGAUAGUUGGCGGGGUAACGGCCCACCAAGUCGGCGAUGGGUAGCUGGUGUGAGAGCACGACCAGCCACACGGGCACUGAGACACGGGCCCGACUCCUACGGGAGGCAGCAGUGAGGAAUAUUGGUCAAUGGACGGAAGUCUGAACCAGCCAUGCCGCGUGGAGGAUUAAGGCCUUCUGGGUUGUAAACUUCUUUUAUAGGGGAAGAAAAAUACGGUUUCUACUGUAUCCGACGGUACCCUACGAAUAAGCACCGGCUAACUCCGUGCCAGCAGCCGCGGUAAUACGGAGGGUGCAAGCGUUAUCCGGAUUUACUGGGUUUAAAGGGUGUGUAGGCGGGCAGGUAAGUCAGAGGUGAAAUCUCCGGGCUCAACCCGGAAACUGCCUUUGAUACUAUUUGUCUUGAAUUUCGUUGAGGUUGGCGGAAUAUAUCAUGUAGCGGUGAAAUGCAUAGAUAUGAUAUAGAACACCAAUUGCGAAGGCAGCUGGCUGAACGAACAUUGACGCUGAGGCACGAAAGCGUGGGUAGCGAACAGGAUUAGAUACCCUGGUAGUCCACGCCCUAAACGAUGAUUACUCGACAUACGCGAUACACAGUGUGUGUCUGAGCGAAAGCAUUAAGUAAUCCACCUGGGAAGUACGUCCGCAAG
rnacentral:rRNA from 1 species